AUUAGCUUGCUAAUUUGCUGACGAGUGGCGCACGGGUGCGUAACGCGUAUACAAUCUGCCUUUAAGCGGGGAAUAGCCCAUGGAAACGUGGAUUAAUACCCCAUAGUAUGUAGACUUCACCUGGAGAUUACAUUAAACAUUUAUGGCUUAAAGAUGAGUAUGCGUCCUAUUAGUUAGUUGGUAAGGUAACGGCUUACCAAGACCGCGAUAGGUAGGGGUCCUGAGAGGGAGAUCCCCCACACUGGUACUGAGACACGGACCAGACUCCUACGGGAGGCAGCAGUGAGGAAUAUUGGACAAUGGAGGCAACUCUGAUCCAGCCAUGCCGCGUGCAGGAAGACGGCCCUAUGGGUUGUAAACUGCUUUUAUACGGGAAGAACCACAUCUACGUGUAGAUGCUUGACGGUACCGUAUGAAUAAGGACCGGCUAACUCCGUGCCAGCAGCCGCGGUAAUACGGAGGGUCCAAGCGUUAUCCGGAAUCAUUGGGUUUAAAGGGUCCGUAGGCGGGAUAAUAAGUCAGUGGUGAAAGUCUGCAGCUCAACUGUAGAAUUGCCAUUGAUACUGUUGUUCUUGAAUUAUUAUGAAGUGGUUGGAAUGAGUAGUGUAGCGGUGAAAUGCAUAGAUAUUACUCAGAACACCUAUUGCGAAGGCAGAUCACUAAUAAUAUAUUGACGCUGAGGGACGAAAGCGUAGGUAGCGAACAGGAUUAGAUACCCUGGUAGUCUACGCCGUAAACGAUGGUUACUAGCUGUUCGGCUCGAUUGAGAGCUGAGUGGUUAAGCGAAAGUGAUAAGUAACCCACCUGGGGAGUACGUUCGCAAGAAUGAAACUCAAAGGAAUUGACGGGGGCCCGCACAAGCGGUGGAGCAUGUGGUUUAAUUCGAUGAUACGCGAGGAACCUUACCAGGGCUUAAAUGCAG
rnacentral:rRNA from 1 species